rnacentral:rRNA from 1 species
AUUGAACGCUGGCGGCAGGCCUAACACAUGCAAGUCGAACGAGUGGCGGACGGGUGAGUAAUGUCUGGGAAACUGCCUGAUGGAGGGGGAUAACUACUGGAAACGGUAGCUAAUACCGCAUACCAUCAGAUGUGCCCAGAUUGGAUUAUCUAGUAGGUGGGGUAAUGGCUCACCUAGGCGACGAUCCCUAGCUGGUCUGAGAGGAUGACCAGCCACACUGGAACUGAGACACGGUCCAGCCGCCUACGGGAGGCAGCAGUGGGGAAUAUUGCACAAUGGGCGCAAGCCUGAUGCAGCCAUGCCGCUGGUGUGAAGAAGGCCUUCGGGUUGUAAAGCACUUUCAGCGAGGAGGCGUUACCCGCAGAAGAAGCACCGGCUAACUCCGUGCCAGCAGCCGCGGUAAUUC